UGGGGAAUAUUGCACAAUGGGGGAAACCCUGAUGCAGCGACGCCGCGUGAACGAAGAAGGUAUUCGUAUCGUAAAGUUCUGUCCUAUGGGAAGAUAAUGACAGUACCAUAGAAGAAAGCUCCGGCUAAAUACGUGCCAGCAGCCGCGGUAAUACGUAUGGAGCGAGCGUUGUCCGGAAUUAUUGGGCGUAAAGGGUACGCAGGCGGUUUAAUAAGUCGAAUGUUAAAGAUCGGGGCUCAACCCCGUAAAGCAUUGGAAACUGAUAAACUUGAGUAGUGGAGAGGAAAGUGGAAUUCCUAGUGUAGUGGUGAAAUACGUAGAUAUUAGGAGGAAUGCCAGUAGCGAAGGCGACUUUCUGGACACAAACUGACGCUGAGGUACGAAAGAGUGGGGAGCAAACAGG
rnacentral:rRNA from 1 species